GUGUCAGCAGCCGCGGUAAGACGUAGGGAGCGAGCGUUGUCCGGAUUCAUUGGGCGUAAAGCGCGCGUAGGCGGCCGCGCAAGUCGGUUGUGAAAUCCCGGGGCUCAACCCCGGGACUGCGUCCGAUACUGCGUGGCUCGAGGCAGGUAGGGGAGAUCGGAAUUCCUGGUGUAGCGGUGAAAUGCGCAGAUAUCAGGAGGAACACCGGUGGCGAAGGCGGAUCUCUGGGCCUGUCCUGACGCUGAGGCGCGAAAGCUAGGGGAGCGAACAGGAUUAGAUACCCUGGUAGUCC
rnacentral:rRNA from 1 species